rnacentral:rRNA from 1 species
CAUCGCUCCUUGUAAAAAAUUAAUAAGGAGUACUGCCUGCCCAGUGACUAAAAAUUCAACGGCCGCGGUAUCUUGACCGUGCAAAGGUAGCAUAAUAAUUUGCUCUUUAAUUAAGGGCUAGUAUGAAAGGCAAGACGAAGGCUUAACUGUCUCCCUAUUAAAAAAAGAAAUUUAUAUUAUAGUGAAGAAGCUAAAAUAUAAACGCAAGACGAGAAGACCCUGUCGAGCUUAAGAAAAUUUUUAUAUUUAAAAAAACAAAGCUAAUAAAUAAUAAUACUUAUAAAAUAAAAAAUAAAAAUAUCUUUGGUUGGGGCAACCACGAAGAAAAAAAAACCUUCGAUUUUUACAAAAAAUAAACAAAUUUAAAAACUAUAAAAGAUAUAAUAAUGAUCCGGAACUACCGAACAAAGAAAAAAGUUACCGCAGGGAUAACAGCGUUAUUCUCUUUAAGAGCUCGUAUUGACAAGAGAGUUUGCGACCUCGAUGUUGGACCAGGGCACCCAAGAGAUGCAGAAGUCUCUAAAGGUAGGUCUGUUCGACCUUUAAAGCCCUACGUGA